GUAACGAAUCUUCCGCAAUGCGCGAAAGCGUGACGGAGCAAUGCCGCGUGCAGGAUGAAGCCCCUCGGGGUGUAAACUGCUGUCAGGGUGCAGGAACGCAAUGACCACACCCAGAGGAAGGGCCGGCUAACUUCGUGCCAGCAGCCGCGGUAAUACGAAGGGCCCGAGCGUUGCGCGGAAUCACUGGGCUUAAAGGGUGCGUAGGCGGGUCCGCAAGUGCCUUGUGAAAUCCCCCGGCUCAACCGAGGAAUUGCUCGGUAUACUGCGGACCUUGAGGUCGGUAGAGGUCGUCGGAACUCUAGGUGUAGCGGUGAAAUGCGUAGAUAUCUAGAGGAACGCCCAUGGCGAAGGCAGGCGGCUGGGCCGAUUCUGACGCUGAGGCACGAAAGCGUGGGUAGCGAACGGGAUUAGAAACCCUAGUAGUCC
rnacentral:rRNA from 1 species